rnacentral:snRNA from 1 species
GUACGUGAGGGCAAUAGGAGUGCCUUCUGUUGCCCACUGAUGGUUAAGGUUGAUUAGGAUGGUAUGGCUAGCCAGUUGGGUGUCCUCUUCCUCAUUCACUGUUCCAGCUACAUCCCUCCCAAAGCUUUCCACAGAGGUCUACCUUCCCAAGCACAGGGGGACCUGCCUUUAGUAAGGGUGCAUGAGUACUUGUGCUCUCCUAACCUCCAAAUGAGCUCUCAAGAUACUUGAUUUCAUUUCAGACUAAGGAAGGGCAAGUCAAAACCACAAUGGUAUAU